CAGAAUGAUACAGAGAUUAGCAUGACCCCUGCACAAGGAUGACAUGCAAAUUCAUGAAGUAUUCCAUAUUUUA
ensembl:snRNA U6 U6 spliceosomal RNA